UACGGAGGGUGCGAGCGUUGUCCGGAAUCACUGGGCGUAAAGGGCGCGUAGGCGGCCUGAUAAGUAGGGGGUGAAAUCCUGCGGCUUAACCGCAGGGCUGCCUUCUAAACUGUCAGGCUAGAGCACAGUAGAGGCAGGUGGAAUUCCCGGUGUAGCGGUGGAAUGCGUAGAGAUCGGGAAGAACAUCAGUGGCGAAGGCGGCUCGCGUCGGGCCUGUUGCUGACGCUGAGGCGCGACAGCGUGGGGAGCAAACAGG
rnacentral:rRNA from 1 species